rnacentral:rRNA from 1 species
UACAGAGGGUGCGAGCGUUAAUCGGAAUUAUUGGGCGUAAAGGGCACGUAGGUUGAUUGUAAAGUGAGGUGUGAAAUUCCUGGGCUUAACCUGGGCCUUGCAUUUCAAACUUACAAUCUAGAGUACAGUAGAGGGAAGUGGAAUUUCCGGUGUAGCGGUGAAAUGCGUAGAUAUCGGAAGGAACAUCAGUGGCGAAGGCG